AUAUCAGAUUAUGAUUUGAUUUGGAGUCCUUAAACCAUUUGAUUGACUUUACAGCAGCUGUACAACCCACUGCAUGUGCAGUGUAAGAGUGACCGUGCAAGAGUGCCUGGAGCUUUGAAUCUCCAAUAAAUGCUCCAAAUACAGCUUCUGAUGCUAAAGUGACAGCCAAGGGCACAAUGCCACCAGUCAUUAACUUGGCAAAGCAGGCUAUAUCUGGCUUACAGCGGAUAAACUCUGUAGCAGACUCUGCUCCCAGACGCCAGAAUCCUGUAAAAACCUCAUCGAAAAUAACAGGAAUUUUUUGAUUUCGGCAUUCUUUAACAAGUACUCUCUGAAAUAGUGGAUCAACCAUUACCAUUCCUCCAGCACCUUGUAUCACUG
rnacentral:misc_RNA from 1 species